ACUCAAAGGAAUUGACGGGGACCCGCACAAGCAGCGGAGCAUGUUGUUUAAUUCGACGCAACGCGAAAAACCUUACCAAAUCUUGACAUCCCUGUGACCGGUCAUAUAAAGUGACCCUUCUCUUCGGAGACAUAGGAGACAGGUGGUGCAUGGUUGUCGUCAGCUCGUGUCGUGAGAUGUUGGGUUAAGUCCCGCAACGAGCGCAACCCCUAUCUUUAGUUGCCAUCGGGUGAUGCCGGGCACUCUAGAGAGACUGCCGGAGACAAUCCGGAGGAAGGUGGGGAUGAUGUCAAAUCAUCAUGCCCUUUAUGAUUUGGGCUACAAACGUGCUACAAUGGUCGGUACAACGGGUCGCUAACCAGUAAUGGGGUGCUAAUCCAAAAAGCCGAUCUCAGUUCGGAUUGAGGGCUGCAACUCGCCCUCAUGAAGUUGGAGUUGCUAGUAAUCGCGAAUCAGCAUGUCGCGGUGAAUGCGUUCCCGGGUCUUGUACACACCGCCCGU
rnacentral:rRNA from 1 species